CUAUAUAUGAUCCUUUCAGUGGGUAAUAGUAAUUGGCAUAUGACCCUGUCAGUAGAUAAUAAUAAUUGGCAUAUGAUCCUGCCAGUGGAUAAUAGUAAUUGGCAUACGAUCUUGCCAAUGGAUAAUAGUAGUUGAUAUACAAUCCUAUCAAUGGGUAAUAGUAGUUGAUACAUAAUUAUGGUUCUAUCACGGGUAUAAUAGUGACCAUAACAUUUAGUCUCAAAGAAU
rnacentral:lncRNA from 1 species